UGUUAGAAAACGUGGUUAAUGCCGGACCAGGAGGUGCCACUUUUUACACUGCAAUGAUCAGACCACUAGACACAACACAGACACAAAAACUGGGGCACAAGAAAGUGUUGAUUUCAUAACUGACCCCAUGGAGAUAGUAGUAGCUACAAACACCACCCAAAAUGACUCAGACACCUGUACCAACCUGUAUGACCAUCAUGGUUGGGCACAGUAUUUCCUGCCUACAGUGUAUUCUCUGAUUUGCAUUGUGGGACUGCUGGGCAAUGUGUUGGCUUUGCAUGUCAUCUGGCCUAAUUUAAAAAAAAUUAACUCCACAACUCUGUAUUCUGCCAACCUGGUGGUGUCGGACAUCUUGUUUUUGCUUGCUCUGCCCUUGCGUACGGUUUACUAUGCCAAGGGGUUCCACUGGCCAAUGGGGGAGGGUUUGUGCAAAGCCGUGGCGCUGUUGUUCUACAUCAACAUGUACGCCAGCGUCAACUUCAUGACUUGUUUGAGCGUGGACCGUUUCAUUGCAGUGGUGCUGCCACUGCGCUUCUCCCGAUUCCGAAAGGUUCAGAAGGUGCGGUACAUCUGUGCUGCCGUAUGGGUCCUUGUGUUGAUGCAGACCCUGCCUUUGUUGUCGAUGCCCAUGACGAGCGUGGAAAAAAGUGGUCACAUAACGUGUAUGGAGUAUCCCAACUUCGAGAAGAUUGACAACCUGCCUGUCAUGCUCAUUGGUGGCGUGUUGAUUGGCUUCGGCAUCCCUGUGAUCACCAUCCUGGUGUGUUAUUCCGCACUGUGCUCCAAGCUCCGCCUCCUGGCCAAGUCUAAUAAACUGACAGAGAAGUCAGGUCGUAGUCGCAAAGCCAUCGGCGUGAUUUGCACCGUCAUUCUCGUGUUUAUGGUGUGCUACACCCCUUAUCACAUCGACCUCCUGCAGUACAUGAUCAGAAAGCUGCGGUACAAGCCAGACUGCUCAGAACUGCAUGACUUUCAGAUCUCUCUUCACAUCACUGUCUGCUUAAUGAACCUUAACUCAUGUCUGGAUCCCUUCAUCUACUUCUUUGCCUGCAAGGGAUACAAGAAGAAGGUACUCAAACUGCUCAGGAAGCAAGUGAGCAUGUCCUUCUCGAGCGUGGUCAGGACCUCGCCUGAAGGCUCCUCCAAAGACGUGUUUGCAAACGACAAAAUCCAUAUGAGCUCCAGAAGCACUCAGAAAGAGAGGAGCAGUGUGCUGUUGAGCACCAGCAAUGGUUUUGAAAGAUAAACAACAACAAGAAAUGCAGUUCACUGACUAUAUGAGACUUAAUAUCAGAGCAAAUUUCUUACCUCUGGAUUAUUUUACACGCUGUUCAAGUUAUUGUUUCAGAUGGUUGUUAAUAUUUUGCUAUGCUGUUUAAAGAUUAUUGCACAUUUGUCUUACAUAUUGUAGUUCAUUUGAGUGCUAGAAUUUGUUAAUUUUUUAAAAAUUUAUAUUUUGAAUAAUAAUAAUAAUAAUAAUAAUAUUAAAGCUGCAAGCAGCGUUGAAAGGGCCCUUGCACCCGGGCUCACUGCCACCCAGUGGCUUCAGGAAGACUGGGAACGGUGAGCAAUAUGCAUUUAAAGAGGCAAAUAUAGAAGGAAUGUCAAAGUAGUUUAUAUCUGCCAAACUUCCUGCUGCCAGCUGGUGGCGCUAUGUCUAUAACUGAACAUUGGCAUGUAGAUGUCUUCAGACCAGUACUUUUAUCAAACAUAUGAAGUUUGGUGCAGAUUGAGCAUGGUAUAAUUGAGUUAGUGUAAAGCAUGACAUAUCAUUGUCAACAGGUGGCGCUAUGAUUAUAUCCGAAUAUUGGCCUUUAGAUGUCUUCAGGCCAGG